UACGUAGGGGGCUAGCGUUGUCCGGAAUCAUUGGGCGUAAAGCGCGUGUAGGCGGUCCGGUAAGUCCGCUGUGAAAGUCGGGGGCUCAACCCCCGGAUGCCGGUGGAUACUGUCGGGCUUGAGUACGGAAGAGGCGAGUGGAAUUCCUGGUGUAGCGGUGAAAUGCGCAGAUAUCAGGAGGAACACCAAUUGCGAAGGCAGCUCGCUGGGACGUUACUGACGCUGAGACGCGAAAGCUAGGGGAGCGAACGGG
rnacentral:rRNA from 1 species